rnacentral:rRNA from 2 species
CAUAGUGAUCCGGUGGUUCUGAAUGGAAGGGCCAUCGCUCAACGGAUAAAAGGUACUCCGGGGAUAACAGGCUGAUACCGCCCAAGAGUUCAUAUCGACGGCGGUGUUUGGCACCUCGAUGUCGGCUCAUCACAUCCUGGGGCUGAAGUAGGUCCCAAGGGUAUGGCUGUUCGCCAUUUAAAGUGGUACGCGAGCUGGGUUUAGAACGUCGUGAGACAGUUCGGUCCCUAUCUGCCGUGGGCGCUGGAGAACUGAGGGGGGCUGCUCCUAGUACGAGAGGACCGGAGUGGACGCAUCACUGGUGUUCGGGUUGUCAUGCCAAUGGCACUGCCCGGUAGCUAAAUGCGGAAGAGAUAAGUGCUGAAAGCAUCUAAGCACGAAACUUGCCCCGAGAUGAGUUCUCCCUGAGACUUAGAGUCUCCUGAAGGAACGUUGAAGACGACGACGUUGAUAGGCCGGGUGUGUAAGCGCAGCGAUGCGUUGAGCUAACCGGUACUAAUGAACCGUGAGGCUUAACCUU